rnacentral:rRNA from 1 species
AGUGAACGCUGGCGGUAGGCCUAACACAUGCAAGUCGAACGGCAGCACAGUAAGAGCUUGCUCUUACGGGUGGCGAGUGGCGGACGGGUGAGGAAUACAUCGGAAUCUACUUUUUCGUGAGGGAUAACGUAGGGAAACUUACGCUAAUACCGCAUACGACCUACGGGUGAAAGCAGGGGAUCUUCGGACCUUGCGCGAUUGAAUGAGCCGAUGUCGGAUUAGCUAGUUGGCGGGGUAAAGGCCCACCAAGGCGACGAUCCGUAGCUGGUCUGAGAGGAUGAUCAGCCACACUGGAACUGAGACACGGUCCAGACUCCUACGGGAGGCAGCAGUGGGGAAUAUUGGACAAUGGGCGCAAGCCUGAUCCAGCCAUACCGCGUGGGUGAAGAUGGCCUUCGGGUUGUAAAGCCCUUUUGUUGGGAAAGAAAAGCAGCAGGUUAAUACCCCGCUGUUCUGACGGUACCCAAAGAAUAAGCACCGGCUAACUUCGUG